AUUGAACGCUGGCGGCAGGCCUAACACAUGCAAGUCGAGCGGAGCGGCAGACGGGCGAGUAAAGCCUAGGAAUGAGCCUGGUAGUGGGGGAUAACGAACGGAAACGGGCGCUAAGACCGCAUACUAACCGAUGAGCCUAGAUCGAAUUAGCUAGUUGGUGGGGUAAAGGCCUAACAAGGCGACGCCCCCUAACUGGUCUGAGAGGAUGAUCAGUCAAAAUGGAAGUGAGACACGGUCCGGACUCCUACGGGAGGCAGCAGGGGGGAAGAGUGGACAAUGGGCGGAAGCCUGAUCCAGCCAUGCCGCGUGUGUGAAGAAGGCCUUAGGAUUGUAAAGCACUUUAAGUUGGGAGGCGUGACCAACAGAAUAAGAACCGGCUAACUUCGUGCCAGCAGCCGCGGUAAUUC
rnacentral:rRNA from 1 species